rnacentral:tRNA from 4 species
GGAGGGGUGGCCGAGCGGUUGAAGGCGCACGCCUGGAACGCGUGUAUAUCUUAACGGGUAUCGUGGGUUCGAAUCCCACCCCCUCCG